CGGGCGCGCGCCCCGGCGGGGGCACCCGGUUGGGGGGCGAGGAGGUGUUCUCCCCGGCCCGGAGCGCGCGGCUUCGGGAAGAGGCUGGCGGGAAGGCGGGCCGCGCGGCGAGCGCCGACGAAUCGAUGAUUCGGCCUGUGGGCAGGGUCACUGCGGCGGGGCCCGGGGAGCGCCGAUGUCAUGGAUGGGCUCGGAGGGGCGCUGGGUUUUGGCGGCUCCUCGCGCUCGCCUCGCCGACCGCCAUUUCAUGUCCUCUCGAGGAGGCGGGGGCGGCCGCCGAGAGGAUUUUUUUUUUCCUCCCCUCCCCAACAAGGUCAAGAUAAGAACUCUCAGCUCCUUCUCCAGCUCCAUGUCUGCCUGCUUCCCACCAUGAUGAUCAUGGACUAGACCUCUGAACUGUGACCCCUGUGAAAGGGUCGUUCCACCCACAAAGGGGUCAUAAUCCACAGGUUGAGAACCACUGAGAUAGACCUGCCAGCCCCAGUGUAUAAUCUAAUGUUCACUCUCUACAGCCACUACUGUGCCCAGAAUGUUGUUGUCCCAGGAGUGAUAUGGAGAUAAGACUAACCCCAAGGAGGUGACCAUAGUAAGAAAUAGGAGAGAUGUCCUCGUGAAAGAAACUGUUCCCUUAUAAAAGCUCAGAGAGACGCCUCAUCUUUUAUACCCCAUGAGGACACAGUAAGAUGGCGCCACUAUAAGGAAACAAUUCUCAGCAGAUACCAUAUCUGCCACCACCACAGUCUAGGACUUUCCAGAAAUAGAAGAAAUAAAUGGUGGUAGCUGCUUGUUGUUUGUGUUUGAUUAUUUUUGAUUUUUUUUGAAAGGUUCCCUUUGUAGCCUAGAUGGCCUAUAACUUGAAAUCUUUCUGUCCCUUCCAGGUGUUUUGGUUCUAGGGCAGUGCCACCACUUCCAGCCCGAUAGCUGCUUUCUUGUGAUACCCUCAGGGGCUGUCUGCCCUGUGUCUAUAUAUUUCAGUGUUUCAGGGUACCCCAGUUAACCCUCUUUAACGGUAAACAAAGGUAUAUUCUAAAGUAGUUAGUCUUCAGCACAGAUAGAGACAGAGCACAAUUCAGCCUGUAAAGAUGCAUAUGUGCACAAAGCAUGUGACACCAUGUAGAAAGGAGGCAUGUAUGCACAAAGCAUGUGACACCAUGUAGAAAAAUGUUUACUGUAUAUGACAUACACUUCAAACACUCCAUGUUUAUUUCACCUAUAAGAAGUAGAUAGCAUUAUCUACGCCAUUCUCUUUUUAAAAUUGAAUUCUUCAGCUGGAGAGUUGGCGCUGCUUUUAAGAGCACUCGUUGCUCUUGCAAAGGACUCGGGUUUGAUUCCCAGCCCUUACAUGGUGGUUUACAACCAUGCAUAAAGUUAUUCCAGUUCCAGGAAAUCUGACACCCUCUUCUGACCUCUGCAGGUACCAGGCAUGUGGUAGUACACUCAACACCUGUAAACUAAAAUGAAUACAUCUUUUAAGAAUUGACUUCCUUUGCCAGGUGUGGUGAUACACCCCUGUAGUCCCAGCACUCAGGAGGCACAGGCAGUGAAUUGCUCUACAUACAUAGCUAAUACCAGACCAACC